GAUGAACGCUAGCGGCAGGCUUAAUACAUGCAAGUCGAGGGGCAGCAGGUUUGUAGCAAUACAGAUGCUGGCGACCGGCAAACGGGUGCGGAACACGUACACAACCUUCCUUUAAGUGGGGAAUAGCCCAGAGAAAUUUGGAUUAAUACCCCGUAAUAUUAUGAUGUGGCAUCACAUUAUAAUUAUAGCUCCGGCGCUUAAUGAUGGGUGUGCGGCUGAUUAGGUAGUUGGCGGGGUAACGGCCCACCAAGCCUGCGAUCAGUAACUGGUGUGAGAGCACGACCAGUCACACGGGCACUGAGACACGGCCCGACUCCUACGGGAGGCAGCAGUAAGGAAUAUUGGGCAAUGGAGGCAACUCUGACCCAGCCAUGCCGCGUGGAGGAUGAAGGUCCUCUGAUUGUAACUUCUUUAUAUGGGACGAAAAGGCUUUCCAGGUCAACUGACGGUACCAUAUGAAUAAGCACCGGCUAACUCCGUGCC
rnacentral:rRNA from 1 species